GUAAAGAGUUGGAAACAUCGUGCAGAGAUCCUUUCCAUGGAAUGAUACAGAUCCCCACGUUCCAGGCGUUCUUCCAGAGAUUCAUAGAUUCCCAGUCUGGGUGGCUGGGUGGCGAGCCAACCGUGUUUGUGACUCUGACUUUAGACGGAUUGCCAGGAUCAUCUUCUUCAUCUUCAUGGUGAUCAAACUUGAAGGCCCACAAAUCAAGUCACAUACUGUCAUUUCAUCUGCUUUUGCAUUAUGCGCUGUGCAGCAUCCUUUUCUCCUACCAUCCUUCCAUGAUGCUGGCCUAGACCUGAACACAUGCUAUCAAUUAGCACACCUUUCUGCUGAUCUGACUCUGUUGGCUGAAUCCCUUGCUGCUGACCCUGGUGUUUAUGGUUUCCCUCCACCUCUACACUACAGGAUUGUUCCUGCUACGGUUUGCAUGGAUGCUUCCACUCAAACAGAGACUUCUUCUGUUGUUUCCUCUGUGAAUAAUUUUGAGCUUACUGAUGAGGACAUGGCUUUCUCUGGGGCUGACCCUGACUUUAACCCUACUUCAGAUUCUCUCAGUCCUACUCCGUCCUCA
ensembl:lncRNA